rnacentral:lncRNA from 1 species
GGGGAGGGUGAGAUUUGAAAUAGUUUGAAGCGUCGACGUCGGCGAUUAAAUUCGGUUCCUCGUUACUCGGGCUAUUUCUUUCCCUCUUCCAUUGCUUACGCUGACAACUCGUCCCCUUCCAUGCAACUUAAACAUCCUUCUAUAUUUUUUUUUCUUAAUUUUUGAGUAUUUUUAAAUUUUAAUUUUUUUUUCAUUCAGCAUAUUCAAAAUAGCAAUUAAAUUUAUCACCUAUUAGACUAUAUUUAUUAUUUUUAUUUUGUCGAGAUUUACAAAGUGUCGGUUCAUUCGUAGUAAGUAAAUUCUUCAACAAGUUCGAUAUUAUUUUUGGUGGAG